rnacentral:rRNA from 1 species
GCCGCAGUAUUCUGACUGUGCUAAGGUAGCAUAAUCAUUUGGUAUUUAAUUGAUAUCUAGAAUAAAAGAUUUGACAUGAAAGAACCUUUCUUCUCCCUUUAAAGAAAUUAAUAAAAAAAUCAAAAAGUUUUUAUUCGUUAGAAAGACGAUAAGACCCUAAAACCUUGAAUCUUAACUAAUUUUACUGGGGCGGUAAAACUUAAACAUGUUUCAACUCCACAUAUUGAAUGAAUAAAUCUAUCGCACAACCCCUACAUUAAGGUACUUUAGGGAUAACAGCACUAUUUCUAUGGAGAGCCCUUAUCGGUAUAGAAGAUUGUGACCUCGAUGUUGAAUUGAAUCCCCUAUAAAAG